CUUGCUCUUGCUAUUGCUACUGUCUCAGCUUUUCUCCUUGGUUGCUCUCAUUAUCCCUCUGUUGCACUAUGUAAUAAAAUCCAUGGGCUUCAGGGGUUUUGUUUUUCAGAAAGGUAGGAUGCCUUGAAUUAUGUAAUUGUUUCGUCAUCGAGUUUCGGCUUAGUCUCCCUUGCCUUGCUCUUGCUAUUGCUACUGUCUCAGCUUUUCUCUCCUUGGUUGCUCUCAUUAUCCCUCUGUUGCACCAUGUAAUAAAAUCCAUGGGCUUCAUGGGUUUUGUUUUUCAGAAAGGUAGGGUGCCUUGUAUUAUGUAAAUGUUUACCCCUUCGUCA